rnacentral:rRNA from 1 species
UAAUACGUAGGGGGCAAGCGUUAUCCGGAAUUACUGGGCGUAAAGGGUGUCUAGGCGGCAAGGCAGGUCUUGCGUGAAAGCUCCCGGCUCAACUGGGAGAGCGCGCAGGAAACCUCCUGGCUAGAGACUCGGAGGGGGGUGUGGAAUUCCCGGUGGAGUGGUGAAAUGCGUUGAGAUCGGGAGGAACACCAGUAGCGAAGGCGGCACCCUGGCCGAGUUCUGACGCUGAAGCACGACAGCGUGGGGAGCAAACGGGAUUAGAUACCCCGGUAGUCCACGCCGUAAACGAUGACAACUAGGUGUCGGUCAUCUAAGGGUGGUCGGUACCGCAGCUAACGCGUUAAGUUGUCCGCCUGGGGAGUACGGCCGCAAGGCUA